UGGGGAAUCUUGGACAAUGGGGGCAACCCUGAUCCAGCCAUGCCGCGUGAGUGAUGAAGGCCUUAGGGUCGUAAAGCUCUUUCGCCUGUGAAGAUAAUGACGGUAGCAGGUAAAGAAACCCCGGCUAACUCCGUGCCAGCAGCCGCGGUAAUACGGAGGGGGUUAGCGUUGUUCGGAAUUACUGGGCGUAAAGCGCACGUAGGCGGACCAGAAAGUUGGGGGUGAAAUCCCGGGGGCUCAACCCCGGAACUGCCUCCAAAACUAUUGGUCUAGAGUUCGAGAGAGGUGAGUGGAAUUCCAAGUGUAGAGGUGAAAUUCGUAGAUAUUUGGAGGAACACCAGUGGCGAAGGCGGCUCACUGGCUCGAUACUGACGCUGAGGUGCGAAAAGUGUGGGGAGCAAAACAGGAUUAGAUACCCUGGUAGUCCACACCGUAAAACGAUGAAUGCCAGUCGUCGGGUAGCAUGCUAUUCGGUGACACACCUAACGGAUUAAGCAUUCCGCCUGGGGAGUACGGUCGCAAGAUUAAAA
rnacentral:rRNA from 1 species